rnacentral:rRNA from 1 species
AGAAUCAACGCUGGCGGCGUGCCUAACACAUGCAAGUCGAACGAGAAAGUGGAGCAAUCCAUGAGUAAAGUGGCGCACGGGUGAGUAACACGUGACUAACCUACCCUUGAGUGGGGAAUAACCUCGGGAAACCGGGCUAAUACCGCAUAACACCUACGGGUCAAAGGAGCAAUUCGCUUAAGGAGGGGUCGCGGCCGAUUAGUUAGUUGGCGGGGUAAUGGCCCACCAAGACGAUGAUCGGUAUCC